rnacentral:rRNA from 1 species
GACGUAGGUGGCGAACGUUAUCCGGAAUUAUUGGGCGUAAAGAGCUCGUAGGCGGUCUGUUGCGUCUGCUGUGAAAACCCGGGGCUUAACCCCUGGCUUGCAGUGGAUACGGACAGACUAGAGGUAGGUAGGGGAGAAUGGAAUUCCCGGUGUAGCGGUGAAAUGCGCAGAUAUCGGGAGGAACACCGGUGGCGAAGGCGGUUCUCUGGGCCUUACCUGACGCUGAGGAGCGAAAGCGUGGGGAGCGAACAGG